GACAGCUGAAGGUUGGGGAUGAUGAAGGGAGGAGGAACCAUGGGGCAUUCUAUGUUCCUGUAGGGAUUUUGGGGCAUCCCACAUUUUGGAAGUGGUUUUGGGUUACUCCCCAAUUCUUCGGGGGUCCCUGAGAGCAGCUCCAAGGAGCCCAGUUUCCAGGCUGGUUGCCUGGGGCACAAGCUCAGAGCUGCAGCACAGUCCAUUGCCGCAGUGCUGGAGAGCAGAGAAAUGAUGGAUGGCCCCAGACAUCUCCAGUGUGUGUUUGGGGGACAGGGCAAGUUCUGUGUAGGUGGUACAGUCACUGCCCCACCCCCAGCCACUGCAGCUUCUGGUCCAGCCCCAAAGUGACUGCCAAGCCCCUGGCACCCCAAAAACCCCACCUGUGACAGGAACCAGAGCAGGUAAAGACUGUGACAUGCGUGUGACACUGAUGUGUCCCUGACAGUAGCUGAGAUGGCAAGCUGAGAUGCAUCCAAGGCUGUGACUGUGGAUAUUCCUCUCCUUCUCUCUAUCUAUCUCUCCGUCGCUCUCUUCCCCUGACUUCCUUUUCUCAAAAUCUGGAUAACUUGAAGUUGGACGGAUUAGAGUUUGCUGAAUCAGUGUUUUUUGAAGUGCCUUACCAUAAUUCCAGGUUUAAUGUAAGUUAUAAAUUGAGUUAAAUACUAUCCCUCUGUAAAUUGUUAAGUCAUAGGUUAUAAAUUAGGUUAAAUACUGUUAAGUGCUGUUUCUUUGCUAAAUUUUUAAGUUUAAGGUGUAAGUUAAGGUUAACAUAGAAGUUCUCUUAAGUUUGAGCGCUGUUAAGCUUUAUGGCCAUAUUCCAUUUAUCCUUGCCUGUUGGGAUACAAAUCCCUCUGGGCCCCAUCCACACAAGCCCAGGGGUGUUCAGAAAUGUGAGGGCUGAAUUAAAACCUUCAGAAAAACUAAAAUACAUAAAUCCACACAGACAUGAGGUAAAAAUGCAAGUUUAGUUUUAAAUAAGAAGAGAAUAUUUUAUGUACCUUAAGCAAAUAAGAAACUGUAUUAAUAAGAAAAAGCCCCAAAGCCUAGUUUAAAGUUCAGUGGCAUCACCUUUUACAAAGUUAACUAAGUUCCAGACAUAACAAAAAAAUAAUGUAGCCUUGCUAGCAUUCCUAGAUAGAACAGAUAGAGUAUAUAAGUAGAAUUUGUGUAAGGAGUUAUGAUCCCUUUCACACAGCAGUCUUAGAUUUGGAUAGGUCCAACAAGGCAGUAUGUCUUGGAUUAUGUAACCUAAAAAUGUGUAUUCUGUUUCAUCUGUUGAAAGCUGGUUUUUCGGAGAUGCUUUGUCCUUCUCUUGUAACUCCAGGGGGGCGGAUGCCUUCUGAUAAUGACCCAGGCAUUAAAACCAGCUGGGGCAGUGUUUCUUAUCUCUUUCCCCACCCUUCCAUCCUCCAGGGGGACAUCUUCUUAUAAUGGGCCAUUAGGGCCCACCAAUGACAUGACACAUUCCAUCAUCCCAUUGUAAGAUGCUCCACCCAGUAGGGGAGGAACCAGCUGUCCCUGGCUAGAUAAAAACUGGGAAUUAAGACCAUGAGGUAUCUGGUUUUUCCACUGGAUUCCCAGAGGAAAGACUGGACCUAUCUCAUCACCGCUGGACUUUGUACAGGACUAUCUCUACUCCACAGAACUACAUCUGUUACUCUAGGAGAAUUUACUUGGACUGCUUCCAAUCCCCUGACCAACAGGGUGCCAGGUCAUAUCCCUGACUCUGUCAGGGGUUUUUACAGGAUUUUUGUUUGCUUGCUUGCUUUUUUUCUUUUGUACUACUACAUUUGGAUUUUCUUUUUUUUUUUUUCUUUUUUUUUUUUUUUUUUUUUUUUUUUUUUUUAAUAUUCCUAGUAAAUAACUGUUACUCCUAUUCCCAUAUCUUUGCCUGAGAGCCCCUAAUUGCAAAAUUAUAAUAAUUUGGAGGGAAGGGGGUUUACAUUCUUCAUUCCAAGGAGGGCUCUAGUUUUCCUUGGCGGACAACUGUCUUUCAAAACCAAGACAGACUUUUGCAACUACCCAGCUUAUAUGGUCUAUGAAACCCCCACACAAUUCUUGAUACUUGCCCUUACUCUCCUUUUGUCAAUUGCAACUAAACACAUACGGACAGUUCUUGGUUCAUUUCUGGUUUGACUGCCUGGAUUUUGUUUAGUUUUGUUGCUUUGUUUCCUUGGUGUGCCUGAACUGUCCAGUCAGGAGUAGAGUGACUCUUGCCAGUGAACUCUAUUAUGCCUGUGCUCCUAAUUGGAGAUUUUUGUCAAAUAUGCUAAUUUGCUAAAAUUAUAAAACUGUAUUCACCCCAUGGCGGGGUAGGCAUUUUGUGGACAUUUUCCAUAUCUUCUCCUUGGAGACCUCCAAUGAAAGUUAGCCUUUAUAUUACCUCCUAUACUAAUAUUAUCUCCAAAGGAUGUUGUUUCAUUUCUAAGGCCUUUAAGGCAUCAGUUUUUCUGGCGCCUCGGAUGGGACUGGACCCGGCAGCCUCCCUCUGGACCAGAAACAUCUUGCAAGGAAUUUUUUCCUGCCAAAGACUUUUAAGAAUUUCCCUGCAGUGGCCUGAGGGAUGAGGAAGCAUGGUUCCAGGACCCCACAGGAGAACUAUUUAAACCUGCUCUGGACUGAAAACCCAGGGGAACACUUGGGGCUUGCACCUGCGGCCAACUGGGGCCUGGACCUUGGCAUUUUCCAGCAGCACCGGAGGGACUGGGACUGAUGAGAGACUGAGAGAGAGCCGAGCUACAUCCACUGCAAGAACUUUCUCAAUUUGCCAUCUCACUCCAGAACGAGAGGGUUUAUUGUUUCAUAUUAUUCAUUCUUUAUACUUAUAUACACUUUGUUUGUUAAGUAAAAGUUUUUUUCCA